rnacentral:misc_RNA from 1 species
AAUUCUCAAAGCACCACCUUGGUUUCAUGCCGAGUCGGAGCUUUGGACUGUGAGGGCUGCUGGAACUCAUCAUGAGAUCAGACUCCCUUUAAAUGCAUUAGUGGUUACCGAUCCUCUUCCACUAGGUGUGAUAGUCUAUCUACGCCUUUCGUGAAUGAUCAGCUAGUUAUCCGCUUCUAACAGUCUCUUGACCGAGACAACUCUUGACA